AAAGUAAAAAAAACUAAAUUGAACGCUAAUUUUGGCCAGUGUUUGUGACCAAGUGGUUACUAAAAAAGACUGGACAUAUCCCAUUUGCAAUACCUUGGGUUGUCUUCUUUUGCAAAUGGUAUGCCAUCAUGGGGGUAAUUCUCAUUCCUGGGCUACCAUACGCUCUCAAAGGCAACGUAGCCAACCUGGCCAUUUUCAAUGUAAAAAUAUUUGACCCAUAUAUUUGACCUUGUAACUUUCAAAAAUGCUAUAAAACCUGUACAUGGGGGGUACUGUUUUACUCGGGAGACAUCGCUGAACACAAAUAUUAGUGUUUAAAAACUGGAAAACGUAUCACAACAAUUAUAUCAUCAGUAAAAGUGC